GUACCGCUCUUAGAGGAAGAUCAACAGAAGACAGCUUCAGAAUUGAGAGAUCCAGACCUUUUAUGGUAUUUUCAGGCCUGGGCCCCCUGAGAACUGCACUUUCCAGAGCCCCAAAAUGAUAGCCACGCCCCCAGAAGGGUUAAAGUUGGCAUUUGGUAGGCCUGAGGGACCGUAGUUGAAACUAACUCCUAAAUCAGAAUUACAGGGUUGAAAUAACAGCCAAAGCUCUGCUCCCAUCCACCCUAAGCACUAGAAUUUAAAGCGUUUGGAGUAGUUUCUAAUCACGGCCGGCCUAGCUUGUUGACCCACGUGGAAAGGACUCUUCUGCGUAAUCCAAUUCAAAUUGCUAACAACGGUGUUUUGAACUGGGUAAACUGAUUGGUUUUGAUGAAACAAAGGGAAUACAGCUUUCAGAUCGCAAAAAGGAAAAACAGAAGACAACAUGACACACCUGACUGAGCCAUACUACUGCUGGCAACUUGAGGCUUCAGAUCAGCUUCUAGGAGAGCAGGAGAAACAGUUACCACUGGUCCUGAGAACAAGGGACCUUUUAAGCUCAUCUUUAAUUAAAACUGGAACACUAUCAUUGGCCAAGAGAAGACAUUCAAUCCACUUCAUUGAUCUUCAUCUACAUUAAGGAAAGCAAAGAAUGUCCCUCCUACCUGUGGCCUGGUCUCUUUUUCUGGAAAGGAUUAAAGGUUUCCCCCUCCUGUUAUUAAUAAAC